rnacentral:rRNA from 1 species
UACAGAGGUCUCGAGCGUUAGGCGGAAUCACUGGGCUUAAAGCGUGUGUAGGCGGGUCGUUAAGUGCCUUGUGAAAUCCCAUGGCUCAACCAUGGAACUGCUGGGCAUACUGGCGAUCUUGUGCCACCUAGGGGCGAGCGGAACAGAUGGUGGAGCGGUGAAAUGCGUAGAUAUCAUCUGGAACGCCAAUGGUGAAAACAGCCGCUGGGGGUGUGCAGACGCUGAGACACGAAAGCCAGGGGAGCGAACGGG